UACGUAGGGCGCGAGCGUUGUCCGGAUUUAUUGGGCGUAAAGAGCUCGUAGGCGGCUUGUCGCGUCGUCCGUGAAAACCUGCAGCUCAACUGCAGGCUUGCGGUCGAUACGGGCAGGCUAGAGUUCGGUAGGGGAGACUGGAAUUCCUGGUGUAGCGGUGAAAUGCGCAGAUAUCAGGAGGAACACCGAUGGCGAAGGCAGGUCUCUGGGCCGAUACUGACGUGAGGAGCGAAAGGCGUGGGGAGCGAACAGG
rnacentral:rRNA from 1 species